AAAAUAUUUUGCAGUUAUAAUUGCCUAACAAGGAAAGUUCUACCUAGACUUGGUUUGAAAAGGAGGCUUGCAGACAUUGCUUUUGAUGAAAUAUUUGAUAUUGCACAGAGAGAAAUACUGAAUGGAUGUUCAGGUGCUGAAAGUCUAAGAAGAAUUAUAAAAAUGAAACACCAGCUGAAUAUUACCAGGUCCAUAGCAAGAGAUAUAGUUCGUCUUUUGGAUGAAGAUGGGAUAAAGAGAAGGAAGCAGAGAAGACUGAGAAGAAGGCAAUACUUUAGUAAGGGUCCAAAUUUUGUUUGGCAUUUGGAUUUUCCAGACAGUUGAUAUGGCUGGAAGCAGAUGUGACUAAUAAAAGACCGGAGGUUGUAGCAGAAUACUUCCUGAAUGCAGUUCAUACUAUGAAAGGUUGUCCUCAAAAGAUAAGAGCUGAUCCUGGCACAGAAAAUGGGAUCAUCGCAACAUUCCAAACAUUUCUUAAGACAGAUCCAAGUGCAGUGUCUUUUGGAACUUCGACUGCAAAUCAGAGAAUUGAAAGAUUUUGGGGCAUUUUAAGGCAAAUGAAAGCAGAUUUCUGGAUGGAUCAUUUCAAAGGAUUGGUGUAUGAAGAACUGCUGGAAAUAGGAAAUCCUCUACAUAAGUAUGUAUAGAUGAAAAA